rnacentral:rRNA from 1 species
CCAGACUCCUACGGGAGGCAGCAGUGAGGAAUAUUGGUCAAUGGGCGGGAGCCUGAACCAGCCAAGUCGCGUGAGGGAAGACGGUCCUACGGAUUGUAAACCUCUUUUGCCGGGGAGCAACGGGGUCCUUGCGAGGGCCCGAUGAGAGUACCCGGAGAAAAAGCAUCGGCUAACUCCGUGCCAGCAGCCGCGGUAAUACGUAGGGGGCGAGCGUUAUCCGGAUUCACUGGGUGUAAAGGGAGCGUAGACGGCCAUGCAAGCCAGGGGUGAAAGCCCGGGGGCCAACCCCGGGACUGCUCUGGAAACUGCGUCGCUGGAGUACGGGAGGGGCAGGCGGAAUUCCUGGUGUAGCGGUGAAAUGCGUAGAUAUCAGGAGGAACACCGGCGGCGAAGGCGGCCUGCUGGACCGUGACUGACGUUGAGGCUCGAGAGCGUGGGGAGCAAACAGGAUUAGAUACCCGAGUAAA